AUUGAACGCUGGCGGCAGGCUUAACACAUGCAAGUCGAGCGGAGAUGAGGUGCUUGCACCUUAUCUUAGCGGCGGACGGGUGAGUAAUACUUAGGAAUCUGCCUAUUAGUGGGGGACAACAUUCCGAAAGGAAUGCUAAUACCGCAUACGUCCUACGGGAGAAAGCAGGGGAUCUUCGGACCUUGCGCUAAUAGAUGAGCCUAAGUCGGAUUAGCUAGUUGGUGGGGUAAAGGCCUACCAAGGCGACGAUCUGUAGCGGGUCUGAGAGGAUGAUCCGCCACGCUGGGACUGAGACACGGCCCAGACUCCUACGGGAGGCAGCAGUGGGGAAUAUUGGACAAUGGGGGGAACCCUGAUCCAGCCAUGCCGCGUGUGUGAAGAAGGCCUUAUGGUUGUAAAGCACUUUAAGUGAGGAGGAGGCUACUGAGACUAAUACUCUUGGAUAGUGGACGUUACUCGCAGAAUAAGCACCGGCUAACUCUGUGCCAGCAGCCGCGGUAAGAC
rnacentral:rRNA from 1 species